rnacentral:rRNA from 1 species
UUGCUCUUCAACGAGGAAUGCCUAGUAAGCGCGUGUCAUCAGCAUGCGUUGAUUACGUCCCUGCCCUUUGUACACACCGCCCGUCGCUACUACCGAUUGAAUGGCUCAGUGAGGCCUUCGGACUGGCUUGGGGAGGUUGGCAACGACCACCCUAAGCCGGAAAGUUCGUCAAACUCGGUCAUUUAGAGGAAGUAAAAGUCGUAACAAGGUUUCCGUAGGUGAACCUGCGGAAGGAUCAUUACAUUCAGUAGCUUGCUACUGUUAGGGGGGUCUAUCAGCCUGUAUAGUAUCACUACUGAUGAGCAGCACGACCCUCUGUCUGUACCCUUGUCUUUUGCGCACUCAUGUUUCCUCGGCGGGUCUACACCCGCCGGCUGGACAACUCUAUAACCUUUUUAAUUUUCAAUCAGCGUCUGAAAAACCUAAUAAUUACAACUUUCAACAACGGAUCUCUUGGUUCUGGCAUCGAUGAAGAACGCAGCGAAAUGCGAUAAGUAGUGUGAAUUGCAGAAUUCAGUGAAUCAUCGAAUCUUUGAACGCACAUUGCGCCCCUUGGUAUUCCAUGGGGCAUGCCUGUUCGAGCGUCAUUUGUACCCUCAAGCUCUGCUUGGUGUUGGGUGUUUGUCCACUCCCUAGUGUUUGGACUCGCCUCAAAGCAAUUGGCAGCCAGUGUUUUGGUAUUGAAGCGCAGCACAUUUUGCGAUUCUAGCCUAGAAUACUAGCGUCCAGUAAGCCUUUUUCCACUUUUGACCUCGGAUCAGGUAGGGAUACCCGCUGAACUUAAGCAUAUCAAUAAGCGGAGGA